AGCUCACUUUGGCAGUAUACUAAAAUUGGGACAAUCUAGAGAAGAUUAGCAUGGCUCCUGUGCAAGGAUGACACACAAAUUCACGAAGCGUUCCAUAUGCAA